GGCAGUAGUUCAUCCAGUUGCUUUUUGUGAUGAUUGUGUCGGAAUGACCAAAGGAAGUUGGAUACUGAAGAACAAAAAUUUGAUGAUAAUGACUUAUGUUCUUUUCUUCUAGACUCAUAAGAUUGUUAUUAUGAAUGGCACAAGCCUUUAGAUUCUACAUCUCAGACGGGAAAUGCAAAUGGAGCUGAUUGGCAGGAAGAGGCAUACCAAAAGAUCAAGUCUAUGAGGGAGAUGUAUUUAUCAGAGCUGUUUACUGUAAAAUUGCUCCUAAAGUGUAGAAGAUGGCAGCUUUCAACAUUCAGGAGGCACUUAUUUGGAAAGAAAAAAUUGAAUCAAUCAUUUAUCAGCAUCAGGAGUCACAAGGAGCUAAUGGUAAUAAGUACAUUUCAUUUGAGCAUAAAUCUGAUAUGGACAACGGGAGGAAUGCUUCCUCAGCAGAUCAUGAAAAAAUUGGUCUAAAUUGAUCCUUGAUGAAUGAUAGAAGGCCUCGGUGAUGCUUUUGAUUAUUUGGUGCAAAGUGACACUUUAGCUAAGGCAUUCAUGGUCAAAAAUCAAAAUCUUCGUAAGGUGUGGUUGGAACGAUUCAAGCAACAACAGUAGUGCACCUAUUGGUUGGUUUAGCUUCAUAGGAUUUGGAAGCAACUAUUAUUCGCACGCUUUUGUUUUUGAUAAUGUAUUGCGUAUUUGCUUCCAAACUUCUCUCCUUUCUUUUGUUUUUAUAACGUAUCGUGUAUUUGCUUCCAAACUUCUCUCUUUUGUGCAUUUGUGGGAAUUGAUUAGGAAGCUUGAAUUAUGUAAGUAAUAAUUACUUAAAUUUUAGUGUCUUGUAAUAUUUUGAUACUCGAUAUUUGUAUUAUUUGCUAUGCUUAAAUUAGUUCCGAUAGAAUGUUGAGUUGUCUAAUAUAGUAGUUAAUUGUUCAGUACUAUUUUUCAAAAAAUAUUUUUUCCUCUCACCAAUCAAACAACUAAAAACAUUUUUUAGAAAAAUAUUUUCUAUUCACCAACCAAAUACCAUAAAAUAUUUUUCGAAAAAUAUUUUCUAUCCACCAACCAAACAUGAGAAAAUAAAUAGAAAAUCAACUUAUUUUUCAUGAAAACAUUUUCCAUCAUACCCCCCACACACUCUUCUCUAUGCGAUAAUGUCUUCCGCCUCAGGUAUAUCUUCUUUAAAAAAAAUUUGCCGUAAGAUUAUCGUAUUCAAGAUCCUGAUGUCGCUGGCACAAGACUUUGCAUCUGGUGAUUAUCGUAAAAGUGCUAGCACUUCCCAAAAAUUUGCUGAAACCUCAAUGUUGUAAGCAAUCAACUUCUUUAAUAUUUCUGUUAUCCUCAAUUUUUGUUUUAUUUGUUGCAAAUUUAGAUUCUACAUCUCAGAUGGGAAAUGCAGAUGGAGCCGAUUGGUAUGAAGAGAUUUACCUAAAGAUCAAGACUCUGAGGGAUAAGCACUUAAUUCAGAGAUCACUGAUCUAUACCAGAGAAUCGCCUUUGCAGUGCAGCUGCGGGAUUCUCUUCCUCAGCGUCUUCAACAUGAGCAAGUGGAAAAGCUCAAGAUGCUCAAGUCUAAUUUGGAACACAUUAUGAUUUUCUUGCAGCUCAAUAAGCAUGAUAUUCAGCUUACUCACAAGGAGAAGUUGUGUUCGGUUGAGAAGCACAUAAGUUUCUUUCUUCUCAAAAGGCUGCGUAAGCCUACUUCUUCUCCUUCGUGGGGGGGCCAGGGGCAACUUCCUCUGUCUUGCACGCAGCUUCAACAACCACAAUCUCUUGAUGUUCAAGCUAAUCCACCGACACAACCUGUACAUGGUUUCAUGCCGGCAAUGCAACAGAAUAAUCUCACCAACUUGCAACAUCUUUCCUUGUCAGGCGUAAAUACUGUACAACCUGGUUCCGGUGUGGCUACUGGCAAUUUACCACAGAAUCCUGUCAAUUACAGUCCUCAACAAGUAAACAUAAGCUCAUUAAGUUCACAAAGUGGAACAAACCCAGUGCAGGCAAACUUCGGUUCCCUACAGCAAAAUUCAAGCAUCCCGCAACAGUCACUGUUUGAACUGCACGAGCAGCAAAUGUUGCAGGACCAGCAAUGAAGACAGAUGUAUGAGCAGAUGCAGCAGCAAACUUUUCAUAGCCAGCUGUUAAUGCAACAUCAGCAAUUAUUUCAUAGACAUCAGUUACUGCAACAGCAAGCAAUGCAACAACAGUUAAUGCAGCAGCAGCAGGCAAUGCAGCUGCAAAUUGUGCAAUUGCGAGCCCGCCAGAUGUCACGGCUUCACCAAGUGACUGAUGCAAAUGACCUAAUGAUGAGGCAGCAAAUGGGAAUGAAUAUGGAGGUUUUACAGCAACAGCAGUCAGUUGGCCAGCAUGUUGGAUCUCUUCAUCCUCAAUUGAAGUCGGGAAUAUCUUUACCUCAGCUCCAUGGUACUAUCUCGACAGGUGAUCCAGUUUUCUGGUUUAAUUUUAUGACAUCCUGAGUCCAUGUCUACCCCUUUUACAAAUGUUUAUUAUGAAUCGAGCAUUUUCCCGUACCGACACCCAGUCUCAGUUCCUCAGUUCAUACAUUUUUGGUACUCUGUUCAACAACUGAUAUUCAAUGAGUUGUCAUCUUCCGAGGACAGAAAUUUAUUUCAGUUUUUCUCAUGUUAGUUUUGGGUUUAAUUCAGUAUUUAGAGUUAGCUGGGGGUUUGUCCCAGUAACUCAUCAGUUUAUUGAGGCUUUCAGAACCAGGGUUAAAGAGACUUUAGAUUUCAUGUUGGGUUCUUCACGUGUUUUACAUUCGGAGUUUUCAGUUGACUACAAGAUACCUUUAAAUAUAUUGGAUUAGCUUCCGUUCUAGUACUAUGCUA